GAACAUGCGUUUGGACAUGUAAGGAUUUCAGCGGUUCCUGCAAAGCAAACUUCUCUGGAGGAGCCCGAGAGACCUCUUCUGUACAGAAUAGCCUUACACCCCAUAGGGCAGUCUGUCAGCAAUGCAUUUGAAAGGGGAGCACAUAGACUCCAUGUAAACUGCCCAAUGCUUCCCAGAAGGCUGGCGGCCCCUGCAUCGCUCUGAACUGAAGAGGAGCUGAAGUCACAGAAAGCCAGCCACUACUCGAUUGCCCAAGAAGCAGUCGUCGCACUGGCCCAGCUUCACAGCGGCUCUCGAGUGCUGAGAAAACCCACUGGAAGGGCUUCCUUUCCCUACUCUGCACAUGAGAAUAGCCAUUCCUGUGUCAGUUUUG
rnacentral:lncRNA from 1 species